CUGAUGAAGUUGCUUCUAUUCUUAAGUCGCUUGCCGUUUGCAUUUUGCUGAAUUGCAGUCUUGCAUCACUUUAUGAGUCAGUAAUGACUUUACAGGAUGGUCCAUAGGAAAAGCUCCAUAAGCAUAUGCAGCACUGCCUUAUAUCAACCUGUCUCCCACUGCCUCAGGUCGUACAGGCCUCUGAAGCACUCACAGGAACACACAGGAAUGAUGUAACAGACACUGGAGCAAUGAUGGACACGAUGAAUGUGAGGAUGGAGCUGGACCGGGGAAAAUUGUCUUUUGCAUUGGUUUAGUUGCCUCUGGUCCCACAGAUAAAAUCCAUCUGGCUGAUUCAGUUCUUAUCGGCGAGGUCCAAGUGCUUCUCAGCCGCCUCCGUCACCCUCUUUAUAAACAGUGUGACCUCCUUCUUUCAGGCUGCAGCUUAAGGAGGCUGGGAAUAAAGACAAAGCACCUCAGACUCCCAGACUGAAUCUCUUAAGUGUCAUCAUCAGAAAUAUGAAAGAAGAGGCAGCUUGAUGAGCGUUUUCUCUUUUUGGAUUCGAGAGCCCCGAGAUAUCUGAAGCAACAGUGGGACGUCUGAACUCCUGUCUGACCCCGUCCAGGCCCGCCGCCUCGUAAUGGAUUUGUUCCUAUCUCUUAUGAGCACAUUGGCCUUGGGCAAAGCAGCGGCUCAUCCCAUGAUUGACAGCUGCUGAUAGGACUCCAAUCCCAGCGAGG